UACGGAGGAGGCAAGCGUUGUCCGGAAUUAUUGGGCGUAAAGCGCGCGCAGACGGUCCUUUAAGUCUGAUGUGAAAGCCCACGGCUCAACCGUGGAGGGUCAUUGGAAACUGGAGGACUUGAGUACAGAAGAGGAAAGUGGAAUUCCACGUGUAGCGGUGAAAUGCGUAGAGAUGUGGAGGAACACCAGUGGCGAAGGCGACUUUCUGGUCUGUAACUGACGUUGAGGCGCGAAAGCGUGGGGAGCAAACAGG
rnacentral:rRNA from 1 species